UCGGAUAUGGUGUAAUGGUUAACAUUACCGCCUCUCAUACCUACGAUUCGCGGUAGCUCGGGGUUCGAUUCCCCGUAUCCGAA